rnacentral:rRNA from 1 species
UACGUAGGGUGCGAGCGUUGUCCGGAAUUACUGGGCGUAAAGAGCUCGUAGGUGGUUUGUCGCGUUGUUCGUGAAAACCGGGGGCUUAACCCUCGGCGUGCGGGCGAUACGGGCAGACUUGAGUACUGCAGGGGAGACUGGAAUUCCUGGUGUAGCGGUGGAAUGCGCAGAUAUCAGGAGGAAAACCGGUGGCGAAGGCGGGUCGCUGGGCAGUAACUGACGCUGAGGAGCGA